AUGUAGGGCAAUCUGUCUUUAAGUAGGGGUAAAUUACUCUAAAAUAAAUGAAUCCUAGAGAGUUUUCCCUUCAAGUCAAGUGUCUUGU
rnacentral:pre_miRNA from 1 species